rnacentral:rRNA from 1 species
UACGUAGGGUGCAAGCGUUGUCCGGAAUUAUUGGGCGUAAAGAGCUCGUAGGCGGUGUGUCGCGUCUGCCGUGAAAACCUGCGGCUUAACCGUGGGCGUGCGGUGGAUACGGGCAUCACUUGAGUUCGGCAGGGGAGACUGGAAUUCCUGGUGUAGCGGUGGAAUGCGCAGAUAUCAGGAGGAACACCGGUGGCGAAGGCGGGUCUCUGGGCCGAUACUGACGCUGAGGAGCGAAAGCGUGGGGAGCGAACAGG